rnacentral:rRNA from 1 species
GACGAACGCUGGCGGCGUGCCUAAUACAUGCAAGUCGAACGCUUUUUCUUUCACCGGAGCUUGCUCCACCGAAAGAAAAAGAGUGGCGAACGGGUGAGUAACACGUGGGUAACCUGCCCAUCAGAAGGGGAUAACACUUGGAAACAGGUGCUAAUACCGUAUAACACUAUUUUCCGCAUGGAAGAAAGUUGAAAGGCGCUUUUGCGUCACUGAUGGAUGGACCCGCGGUGCAUUAGCUAGUUGGUGAGGUAACGGCUCACCAAGGCAACGAUGCAUAGCCGACCUGGAAGGGUGAUCGGCCACACUGGGACUGAGACACGGCCCAGACUCCUACGGGAGGCAGCAGUAGGGAAUCUUCGGCAAUGGACGAAAGUCUGACCGAGCAACGCCGCGUGAGUGAAGAAGGUUUUCGGAUCGUAAAACUCUGUUGUUAGAGAAGAACAAGGAUGAGAGUAAAAUGUUCAUCCCUUGACGGUAUCUAACCAGAAAGCCACGGCUAACUACGUGCCAGCAGCCGCGGUAA